CACGUCAGCGCGAUUUGCUGACGUGGCAGCAAAUUGCAUCCUAGAGGGCGCGAUUUCCUGGCGCGUCCCCUGACAUCGCGCUGACGUGG
rfam:Gossypium hirsutum cultivar TM-1 chromosome 11, whole genome shotgun sequence